ensembl:rRNA 5S_rRNA 5S ribosomal RNA
GUCCACGGCCAUACCACCCUGAACACGCCCAAUCUUGUCUGAUCUUGGCAGCUAAGCAGGGCCAGGCCUGGUUAGUAUUUGGAUGGGAGACCACUUGGGAAUACCCGGUGCUGUUGGGU